GAUGAACGCUGGCGGCGUGCCUAAUACAUGCAAGUCGAGCGAACAGAUGAGGAGCUUGCUCCUCUGACGUUAGCGGCGGACGGGUGAGUAACACGUGGAUAACCUACCUAUAAGACUGGGAUAACUUCGGGAAACCGGAGCUAAUACCGGAUAAUAUAUUGAACCUCAUGUUUCAAUAGUUAAAGACGGUUUUGCUGUCACUUAUAGAUGGUUCCGCGCCGCAUUAGCUAGUUGGUAAGGUAACGGCUUACCAAGGCAACGAUGCGUAGCCGACCUGAGAGGGUGAGCGGCCACACUGGAAGUGAGACACGGUCCAGACUACUACGGGAGGAAGCAGUAGGGAAUAUUCCGCAAUGGGCGAAAGCAUGACGGAGCAAAGCCGAGUGAGAGAUGAAGGUCUUCGGAUCGUAAAACUCUGUUAUUAGGGAAGAACAAAUGUGUAAGUAACUAUGCACGUAUUGACGGUACCUAAUCAGAAAGCCACGGCUAACUACGUG
rnacentral:rRNA from 1 species